rnacentral:rRNA from 1 species
UCGUGAAUUCAUCUCCGGGGGUAGAGCACUGUUUCGGCAAGGGGGUCAUCCCGACUUACCAACCCGAUGCAAACUGCGAAUACCGGAGAAUGUUAUCACGGGAGACACACGGCGGGUGCUAACGUCCGUCGUGAAGAGGGAAACAACCCAGACCGCCAGCUAAGGUCCCAAAGUCAUGGUUAAGUGGGAAACGAUGUGGGAAGGCCCAGACAGCCAGGAUGUUGGCUUAGAAGCAGCCAUCAUUUAAAGAAAGCGUAAUAGCUCACUGGUCGAGUCGGCCUGCGCGGAAGAUGUAACGGGGCUAAACCAUGCACCGAAGCUGCGGCAGCGACGCUUAUGCGUUGUUGGGUAGGGGAGCGUUCUGUAAGCCUGUGAAGGUGUGCUGUGAGGCAUGCUGGAGGUAUCAGAAGUGCGAAUGCUGACAUAAGUAACGAUAAAGCGGGUGAAAAGCCCGCUCGCCGGAAGACCAAGGGUUCCUGUCCAACGUUAAUCGGGGCAGGGUGAGUCGACCCCUAAGGCGAGGCCGAAAGGCGUAGUCGAUGGGAAACAGGUUAAUAUUCCUGUACUUGGUGUUACUGCGAAGGGGGGACGGAGAAGGCUAUGUUGGCCGGGCGACGGUUGUCCCGGUUUAAGCGUGUAGGCUGGUUUUCCAGGCAAAUCCGGAAAAUCAAGGCUGAGGCGUGAUGACGAGGCACUACGGUGCUGAAGCAACAAAUGCCCUGCUUCCAGGAAAAGCCUCUAAGCAUCAGGUAACAUCAAAUCGUACCCCAAACCGACACAGGUGGUCAGGUAGAGAAUACCAAGGCGCUUGAGAGAACUCGGGUGAAGGAACUAGGCAAAAUGGUGCCGUAACUUCGGGAGAAGGCACGCUGAUAUGUAGGUGAAGUCCCUCGCGGAUGGAGCUGAAAUCAGUCGAAGAUACCAGCUGGCUGCAACUGUUUAUUAAAAACACAGCACUGUGCAAACACGAAAGUGGACGUAUACGGUGUGACGCCUGCCCGGUGCCGGAAGGUUAAUUGAUGGGGUCAGCGCAAGCGAAGCUCUUGAUCGAAGCCCCGGUAAACGGCGGCCGUAACUAUAACGGUCCUAAGGUAGCGAAAUUCCUUGUCGGGUAAGUUCCGACCUGCACGAAUGGCGUAAUGAU